GUCUCUGUAGCGCAAUUGAUAGCGCGUUGGACUUCUAUUCCAAAGGUAGUGGCUUAGAAUCCCACCUGGGAUG